rnacentral:rRNA from 1 species
ACGCCGCGUGAGGGAGGAUGUCUUUGGAUUGUAAACCUCUUUUCUCAAGGAAGAUAAUGACGGUACUUGAGGAAUCAGCAUCGGCUAACUCCGUGCCAGCAGCCGCGGUAAUACGGGGGAUGCAAGCGUUAUCCGGAAUUAUUGGGCGUAAAGCGUCCGUAGGCGGCUAGACAUGUCUGCUGUUAAAGCGUGCGGCUUAACCGCAUACCGGCAGUGGAAACUGUUUAGCUAGAGUGUGGUAGGGGUAGAGGGAAUUCCCGGUGUAGCGGUGAAAUGCGUAGAUAUCGGGAAGAACACCAGUGGCGAAAGCGCUCUGCUGGGCCACAACUGACGCUGAUG